GAUUACGAGCAUAUUGCUUACAGCUGUCAUAAAGUUACUAAAUGCAAAAUGUAAACAUGAAAUUUAUUUUUUAAGAUACAUCCAUCUGUGUUGGGAUAAUAAUUGGACUUUUUUAGUACCCGGACUGGCCACCAGGCGGCGCCAUUUUACUUUUAAAAAAAGUGGGGGGUACCCUCCUAAAAUGGCCUUAAUACAGGAUCGAUUAAAUUAAAUAAAUAAAAAUAAAUACUGAAAAAAAUCAGUGUUCCAGGUUGACCUUCAAUCGACCUAAUUCUAGUUUCUAACUGACUAGUGUUAACUUGACAUCGAUAAGUAGCAAGUGCAAAAUUUCCUUCA
rnacentral:lncRNA from 1 species